GUAUGUAUAAAUAAAAAAGAGCCAUUCUGUUCGCGAACAGAAUGGCUCUUUUUUGUUAACUUUCAUGGGU
rnacentral:sRNA from 1 species